rnacentral:rRNA from 1 species
UACGGGGGAGCAAGCGUUGUUCGGAUUUACUGGGCGUAAAGGGCGCGUAGGCGGCGUGACAAGUCACUUGUGAAAUCUCCGGGCUUAACCCGGAGCGGUCAAGUGAUACUGUCGUGCUAGAGUGCGGAAGGGCUACUGGAAUUCUCGGUGUAGCGGUGAAAUGACGUAGAUAUCGAGAGGAACACCUGCGGCGAAGGCGGGUAGCUGGGCCGACACUGACGCUGAUGCGCGAAAGCCAGGGGAGCGAACGGG